rnacentral:lncRNA from 1 species
CUGGUUGGAGCACCUGCUGUAGCUUUUCUGGGGCACUGUGUCAGUUGUGCCUCUCUCUGAAAGGCUUUCAGAUCCACCUGUCACACUCGCUAACUGGUUGGCACAUUUUUGACCUUUAGGGUUCCCCUUCACUCAGGUCACGUACAAAAAGAAAGCCACUUACUGCAUUGCGCAGGUGUUACUUCUGGGUUUGUGAUGUGCAUUCUGUGGAUGGCUGUGACAAUUGCACCUGGCUCUUGUUGCAUAUGCGGCAGGUAACCACAUUGUACACUUCUCGAUAUAUCCACUUCAGAUUUGUUCUGCAGUCUGUCUUUAUGAACCCUAACUUACCCUGGCUGUUGGCCAGUGGCAACUGUAUACAUCAUUAGACUCAAAAUGUCCAUCAGAAUUUAGUCUGGGUGAGUGAUCGCUCCACUGAGUAAUUUUAC